UUAAAGCCAAUUGAUUUAUUUAAAAGCCUAGCAGGUGCAUCUACCAUUUCAGCUGCCAGAGGUUUUCUCAGUCAACCACAAGCGAGCUGCUUCCGGACUUCGCUGUCUGGGGGAGGGGAGUGAAUUUGUGUGAAUUUGCCCUUUUCUUUUGGGCAGCAGGGCUGAUUUCUUGCUUUCAGUACUAUACAAUUAAAGCGUUUUCUUCUGGUGUUUGCCAUCGUCCUUAGACACCUCCCCCAAGGGCUGGGCCAGCCCUAGAGCAGCCAUUGACAGCAGAACUCUGCCCCUGCCUGGUUGGCUGGCUGGCUGGCUGGAUAAUCAGAAGUCUCAGUGUCUGCCUCACUCUAUCCAAACUGUGUAGCAAGCUCUGCUGUUCUGAUCUUGAGAAGACUGAGGACAAUUAUCGCCGAGAAACCGUCGGAGAUUUUACAGCAGCCUGGCUCUAGCAGCGUAAACUGUGUAAGAAGGGUCGACAGCAGCCUGGCUUCGGCCGACUCUGCCUCAUUACAUAGAGAUUGCUAAGUAAGUUUACCCUGUCCUAAACUGAAACCAACUGUCACCUAGAAAGCCCCUGAGAAACUGCACUAAGAAGCUGUAGCUACCCAAGGGCUGGUGCUGGGGGUGGUGUUUGAGCCAUGGAACCAAAUGUCUGCUCUGGACUUGUGAGAGAGGCUGGGGAAGCCUCGAGAAAGCAGGUUGGGCACAAGCCUUGCUUCUGGCCCUUGAAAAAGUGCUCACCUGCUGAAAACUGCUCUUUCUGUGGGGUAAUUCUUCCGUGGCAGGCGGCGGGCUUGGGGGGAUCGCCCUGGUUCUCUUUGUCUAGCACAGGCCAGUGCGAGCCUGGAAGCCGGUCCCCUGCCUUCAGGACCGGGAGCCAGAAACCCGAGGCUCUGGCAAAGGAGGAAGACCUGGCUGAAGCAUUGCCAAGCAGGCUCGUGCUGCAGCAGCCCCCCUGCCUCUUGGAUCCCCAGCAGGGUGCUCCACAGCAGGAAGCACAGACCUCAGAACCAGGGAGCCUAAGCCAGUGCAGUCUGCCUGCAGCCCCCAACUAGUGGAUAAGGGGCCAUGGUUUGUCAGGGCUUCUGGAAUGGGUUCCUUCUCUCCCAGGGUUCUCCUUCCCACCUGCCUGCUGCCCUUCAGCCUUUGGCCCCAGGGAGGAAUAGCAGGCGCCCUUGGGCUCCUGCUCCCUGCAAGCAAGCAUGCUUCCUUUUUCAACGCCACCGCUUUCAAAAUAAAAAUGUUCUACCAA